GAUGAACGCUAGCUACAGGCUUAACACAUGCAAGUCGAGGGGCAUCAGGAAGAAAGCUUGCUUUCUUUGCUGGCGACCGGCGCACGGGUGAGUAACACGUAUCCAACCUGCCCUUUACUCGGGGAUAGCCUUUCGAAAGAAAGAUUAAUACCCGAUAGCAUAAUGAUUCCGCAUGGUUUCAUUAUUAAAGGAUUCCGGUAAAGGAUGGGGAUGCGUUCCAUUAGGUUGUUGGUGAGGUAACGGCCCACCAAGCCUUCGAUGGAUAGGGGUUCUGAGAGGAAGGUCCCCCACAUUGGAACUGAGACACGGUCCAAACUCCUACGGGAGGCAGCAGUGAGGAAUAUUGGUCAAUGGACGGGAGUCUGAACCAGCCAAGUAGCGUGCAGGACGACGGCCCUAUGGGUUGUAAACUGCUUUUAUAGGGGGAUAAAGUGUGCCACGUGUGGCAUAUUGCAGGUACCCUAUGAAUAAGGACCGGCUAAUUCCGUGCCAGCAGCCGCGGUAAUACGGAAGGUCCGGGCGUUAUCCGGAUUUAUUGGGUUUAAAGGGAGCGUAGGCCGUCUUAUAAGCGUGUUGUGAAAUGUCGUGGCUCAACCUGGGCAUUGCAGCGCGAACUGUGAGACUUGAGUGCGCAGGAAGUAGGCGGAAUUCGUCGUGUAGCGGUGAAAUGCUUAGAUAUGACGAAGAACUCCGAUUGCGAAGGCAGCCUGCUGUAGCGCAACUGACAUUGAGGCUCGAAAGUGUGGGUAUCAAACAGG
rnacentral:rRNA from 1 species